rnacentral:rRNA from 1 species
CCUACGGGAGGCAGCAGUGAGGAAUAUUGGUCAAUGGGCGCGAGCCUGAACCAGCCAAGUAGCGUGAAGGAUGACUGCCCUACGGGUUGUAAACCUCUUUUAUAAGGGAAUAAAGUGAGUCACGUGUGCCUUUUUGUAUGUACCUUAUGAAUAAGGAUCGGCUAACUCCGUGCCAGCAGCCGCGGUAAUACGGAGGAUCCGAGCGUUAUCCGGAUUUAUUGGGUUUAAAGGGUGCGUAGGUGGGGUGUUAAGUCAGUUGUGAAAGUUUGCGGCUCAACCGUAAAAUUGCAGUUGAAACUGGCGGGCUUGAGUACAGUUGAGGUAGGCGGAAUUCGUGGUGUAGCGGUGAAAUGCUUAGAUAUCACGAAGAACUCCGAUUGCGAAGGCAGCUUACUAACCUGCCACUGACGUUGAUGCUCGAAAGUGUGGGUAUCAAACAGGAUUAGAUACCCGGGUAGUC